UUAUAGGUAAUAUAAAGAAUUUUAGUCACAGCAAUUCCCAUUUGGGAUUUAAGUAACAAACACAAGCUACAGACUACAUCAUCUUAAAUGGAAUCAAAGACAGAAGAUUGGAAAUUAUUAAACAAAUAAAAUAGUUUUCAAAUAAACAGCAGUGAAAAAACAAAAUAAGAAAUCAACAUAUUGAAAGUGCAUGCUGAUUUUGUUUAAGUUAAAAAAGAACAUAUAUGUUUAUAUUAAAUAUAAAUAACUGUUAUUUAUGAUAUUAAUAAAAAUAGUUAAAUUAAAUAUAAAU